rnacentral:lncRNA from 1 species
UCAAUAAUCAAAAGAUUCGAACUUCAUACGAAAAAAAUAACUAGCUAAAAUUCCAAAUUCCUUACCUUGACUAAUCCCCCUAACUGUCUCAUAUCAAAGAAUAGAAAUAAGGCAAGAUGAUAUGUCAAAUGAAACCCUACCAGAGACAAGUCGAAAGGCUUACCAACAAUUUGAUGGAGGAAAGCGGAAGUAGAGGAUAAAUGGAGGGGAGACGAGACGGAUUUGGUCGGAUUAUCGCAAGAAUCGAUGCCGUUAAUUGGAUUGCUGCUUAAGUAAGCGGCAGCCGGAGAUAGUUGAGCCGACCGCCAUGAGAGAGAAGUCAACUUCCUUCCAGCCACUCUCAACAUCUUCGAUUGUUCUGAGAGUACUCUAGGGUCCCGCUCUGCUCAGAACGUGUUGAAGCUCGGACAAAAGGAUUUAGGAUUCGACUGCGAACGACAAAUAAUUAAGAGAAAAUUUAUAGUGUAGACCAUCAAUUUAAUAAAGUUGUCCAAACGGGUUAUAAACUUCUCUUUCACAGUUUAUUCGUCCUCAAUCUUCUAAGUGUAUAACAAAUUAAU